CCUGUGAAGUUGGCGGGUAAUGUCGACACAGUAGAGCUGUUUAAAAGCUAAUUGGGUUUCUUGAGGCACCCAUAUCCAGACUGAGUAGAUGAGCGUGAUCUUUUAUUCGUCAUUAAGCUUUUUAUUCUCGAGCCCGACUGUGAUACGGAGACUAAGACAGCAUGAAGUCCAGGAUGGUGUGUUUUCUGAUGAUUCUGCUUUGCAUCAGUGCCCAUGCAACUAGGAGCCAUGGUAAGCAGAGUUCUAGCAGCGAGUCGGUGAGUGAAGAGGUGAACACGGUAGACCUGCCUUCACUUAUCUGCAGACUGUUUCCGACUCUGUGUUCAACACAGACUACAACAACGACAACAACAAAAACCGCCACAACGACAACAACAAAGGCAGUCACGACUUCAGUCACCCCCCGAGGAGACUCUGGUUAAGCUACAGCCUCUAAAAUGAAUCCAACACGAGGAAUAUUUAGCAAGAUGGGAAGAGUUUGUUUACUUUGAUUUGUAAAAUGAUCAGUUUAAUGGUGUUUUAUUCUGGUGAGGCCAUUGGGAAAACCAGAAUUGAAUGGCUGACCUAAAAACGAAUGUAUUAGUUUGAAAUAGCUAAAAUUUCUUUGUUGUGCCUCCUUUCCAUUUCUAUUAUAUUUUGUUGAUUGCACUUAAUUUAUCUAGCACAGUUUUUGAUUGCCUUUCCACAUAAAGUCUUGAUAACGUUUGUCCAUACGGUGAAAAACACCAAAUAUAAGCAAAGAGUAAUGGACGACGUAUGUUGGAGACGGGUCCCCACCGAUGAGAAGACUCUGACAACACGCCAGUGUAACAUCCACUCAGUAAACUCACACAGACAAGCCUGAAUGCUGACUGCUUAAGAAAAGGGAUGAGUGUAAGCUGCUUGAAGCCAGACUCUGCCAAGUCUGUCGUACUGCGCUGCUGAAUCACCCGACCAACACUUUGAUUCAUUCUUCUGCACUGCUGAUUCCUAAGACUUUGACUGAAGUACAUUGUGUGUUUUUUCUAAUCAAUUACUUUGUGUUUGAUGUAAUUUGAUGUGCCUAAACACUGUAUUAUCAAAAAGCCUGAUUUUGAAUGUACUUUUUCGCUCUAUUUUUUUUUCUGAACUCAUAUUUUUUUUCCCUAAUUAUGACUGAUCUUCUGUGUGCUGCAGGUGAAGUGUUAUGGUUCUAAUAAAGUCAUAUAAAAUUAACAAGAUAUUUGUAAAGAUAAAGUUUAGUAAUAGUAUGUAUAUGAAUCACUAUGAACAUUAAAUGAUAAAUCAAAUGAGAAUGCUACAUCCUGUGAAAUCUCUCGUAGAUUUCUCAAUGAUCUCACUGAAUGCAAUGAGUUCAAGAAGCUCUAUGUUUUCUGCUCUGCUACUUUUGAUGAUGUGUCGCUAAAAAGUAUAUUUUGGGGCUCUUCACUUAUAUAGCACACAGCUGAUUCCAUUGAAGCCAAGUGUCUAAGGGAGCCACAUCAACAGCAAAUGGUGUUUUCCAGAGAUUCACAGAAACACAAGCAGUUCCUGAUCACACACACUCAGUCAGUCACAGUUUCCCCUUUCCAAUCACAGCAGAAAUGCUAAAACCAAGACACAAUGGAAGAUCGAAGGAGGAGUCUGACAUCGUGCUCAUCGACUGUCAGACAUGAAAACUUAAUUCACCAGAUAACUUUCAACUUUGCAUAAUGUCCAGGACAUUAUGACUGUUGUAUUUUGCCACAUGUGUUGCCUAUUUGUUUGUUUGUUUAUGUCAUUUAAAUGAAAAUGUCACAUGUUGACAUAAACAAAAGUUUUGAAUGAAAAGUAUUGUGCGGCCCACCCCUUCUCUAAAAAG